CCCUCGCCCGUCUCACCCCCUCGUCCAAACACUAGCUUUCCUCGCGCCGCACCCGAGCCGUGCCUCCUUCCCUCCGCACGCCGCCACAGCUCGCCGCCGACGGCCUCCACUUCUCUCCCACCCGCCUCUCUCCCACCCCAGACGGAUCGCCCAACACAUCCAUCUCUCCUCUCCUGCAACCCCUCUCUCUCUCUCCCCGCACUUCACAGCGACAACAAGCACUCCCAGAUCCCUCCGGAUGCCGGACUUGGAGGAGUCUGUGCAGCCCAAGCCCGCCGACCCCUCCGCCCCGCCCCCCGCCGCCGGUAGAAGAUGGAGGCCCCGGGCUCCCCCUACGCCUCCUCGCCCUAGUCCGCGCCCAAGCGCGCGCCCCUCUCCUCCCCGCUGCCCCCGCAGGACCGCCCCGACGCCGACCACGACGCCGCCGAGCCUGAAGAGAAGCUGCAACCUGCAGAAUGCAAGAAAGGGCUGAUGUGUGUUGCGUCCUCGCCAUUUCUGGACAUCAAGGUUCUUGUCAUCGUCCUAUGUGAGCUGCGAACAGCUCAUCCAUCCCACCAACCCCGAUAAUUUUUAUAUAUGCUUGCUAUGGGUUUCCAUUCAAAUCUAUAAGGUCGUUAACUGCUAUCUUAUUCAGUUUUUUUCUUCCCUGUAUCUAUCAAGCUUAGUCAUGUUUACACACAGCUUCAGUAAAUGGCAUUGUAUAUGUUUUUCUCAGUAAAUGCAAGACAUUGUAUUCAACACUAAUCUCCUAAGUAUGCCAUGAGCAUGUGAAUAGCUCAAUCCUGUUGUCUUUGUGCUUAGUGCUUACUGCCUAGGUGUUCUCAGUUUACAAAGGGUUUUGGGAGUACUUGCCUGUUGCAAAUGGAUGGGCCUGUUGUUAGAUGCAUGAGUCUGACACUCCAGUGAUUUCUAACUUAGACACUUGUAUUUAUGCAACUUUACCAACAAUUUUGUUUGCAACAGCAUUAUGCACAUGAGGCAGGACUAUACAAGUGAAUUGUCGCAGUAAGGUCCUUCCAUGGAUUUCAUGUGGCUCCUUGAGUUGUAAGAUGCAGCUCCAACAUUGAAUAUAUUUUGAAUGUUUCCAAAGAUACUCUGUUACGUUUACUUCAAUAUAUACAUGCAUGUUACUGAUAGAAGCUGGCUGCAGGAAUCUGUACACAUAUAUACUCUCUUGUACAGUGCAUUGCUAGAUCACUCACUAGGCAUUAUGUAAUACUACUAGGAGAUAUGGGUGAGGGACUAAAAGGAUGAUACGCUUCCAUGAAUUUAUUUGUAAGAAGUUUUUCUUGGCUGUGUACAAAUCAACCCAAAUGAAUUUAUGUUCUUUUUACUUCCAGAGUUAUAGUGCACUCAUACUGUCAUCACAUUGCGUGUUCUUGCUGCAUAUACCUCUCUAUUUGCUUAGGCAGACAACUACUUAUGUAAUAUGCAAACAACAACAACAUAGCUAGUGAUGCUAAUUCUACCUCUUGUUACAAAAUCAGAAUUCCUCUUGUUGCACAUGACAACUCCGUUUCCUCUUGUUACAGAAUCAGAAUUCCUCUGCUUCUUAUGCUACUCUGCUAGAACUCUGCUUUUCUACUUGUCAUAUUGAAUAUACAUGUUCUAAACAUUAUACAGUACUUUCGUUGUUAACUCCAAACAACUUGGGAUCUUCUCUUCUGCAUGCAGCAACUGGCUUACCAGUACGCCGCCAAGGGGGCAUGCCUUCCCUGGUAGCAAGGAGGGGGCAUACCUUGCCCUGCAGACAGCAAGGGUGACUAGUGAUAUUCAGUUUUUUGUGUGUGUUUUCUACACACACACACACACACACACAUGGUCCUUCCUUUUAAAUCUCCUCUGCUGCUUACUGACAGAGUACUAUGCACGUACAGUAGUUGAGUAGUAGUGUGUAGGUUAUGGCUGUAGUGUGCUCUCACGUUGCAUAAAAUUCUGGUAUUGUGUUCAUAUAGCUAAUCUGCUGCUGUUGUGCAUAAAAUUCCAGGAUCUUUGCAUGUAAGUUCUGGCUGUAGUGUGCUCUCCCGUUGUACAUGCCCCUACCUUUAGUAAGAUUAAAUUGCUACUAUUAAUGAUGAAUGGUUGAGUUUUAAAACUUGAAGCACCACCUACUUUCUGGUCCUGUAGUGUUUAAAACUGAUAAUUAUGAUGCAUUGGUCGGCCAUAUGGCCUUGUUUUUUAAUGCACACACACACACACACACACACACACACACACAGAUAUAUAUAUAUAUAUAUAUAUAUAUAUAUAUAUAUAUAUAUAUAUAUAUAUAUAUAUAUAUAUAUGAUGUAGUUGAUAGGCCUUGAUAUCAACCUCUCAAGUUCAUGUUCCCUGGUGUGUAGGUAACUAGUCAUUUUUUGGCAAGCCUGUAAUGAAUUUAUUAGAACUUUGCUCCUAUUGCCGUGUACUGUAUGAAGCAAAAAGGUCUAUAUUAGUGAGGAUGUAAAUGUAGAAGUAUAGAAACCAUAAAUUCAAGCUUCUGCUGUAGCAUGCUCAAUAUAUAUUGUUAUAGAAUAGUGUUCUACAAAAGGUUGAAACACCAUGGUCUCAGUCAUUUGUAGGAAGUAGAAACACCAAGGCUGACAUGCACUUCACUGUUUCAUUCGUUUUUUCUAAUUUAAUUUUCUGGAUAGUAAAUUUGCUAAAUUUGCGAUUGUACGCCCUUUGUGAAAAAAUUGCAUUUUAUGUUUCCAUGCCCUAUAAUGCUGAAGCACGGUUCUCUGAUAUUCUGCACCACUGAAAGGGUGAUAUCUUGUAUAAAUUUGGCUUUUGGCAGGUAAUCCUUUUCCCUGCCAUGUUCAGGUGCAUCACUCUGAUGCCGAUGAAGGGUGAGAUCUUGGUCGACACUAUGGAGAAGACCGUGAAGCCUGGUGUGUUCCUCAAAUCGGGACUGAUAGAAACCGAAGGGCCACUCGAAGCUGUCAAAGGGCACUUGUAGAUCUUGUGGUUGUGAUUACACUUGUAGAGACUUGUAGAGCUUGUGGCUGUGAUUACCAUUGUAUCUAAGUUAUAUGAUGUAACAGACUUAUUUUGGCUGUUAUUUGAAGUAUUAUCUGUGCUUUC